AGUGAACGCUGGCGGUAGGCCUAACACAUGCAAGUCGAACGGCAGCACAGUAAGAGCUUGCUCUUACGGGUUGCGAGUGGCGGACGUGUGAGGAAUACAUCGUAAUCUACUUUUUCGGGUGGGAUAACGUAGGGAAACUUACUCUAAUACCGCAUACGACCUACGGUUGAAAGCAGGGGAUCUUCUGACCUUGCGCGAUUGAAUUAGCCGAUUUCGGAUUAGCUAGUUGGCGGGGUAAAGGCCCACCAAGUCGACGAUCCGUAGCUAGUCUGAGAGGAUGGUGAGCGACAGAGGAAGUGAGAGACGACACAGGCUCUUACGGGCGGCCGCAGUGGGGAAUAUUGGAAAAUGGGCGCAAGCCUGAACAAGGAUACCGAGUGGGUGAAGGCGGCGUUCGGGUUGUAAAGCCCUUUUGUUGGGAAAGAACAGCAGCAGGUUAAUACGAAGCUGUUCUGACGGUACCGAAAGAAUAAGCACCGGCUAACCUCGUG
rnacentral:rRNA from 1 species